rnacentral:rRNA from 1 species
UACGUAGGGUGCAAGCGUUAAUCGGAAUUACUGGGCGUAAAGCGCGCGCAGGUGGUCUUUCAAGUCAGUGGUGAAAGCCCGGAGCUCAACUCCGGAAAUGCCAUUGAAACUGUGAGACUUGAGGACGAGAGAGGUGAGUGGAAUUCCCAGUGUAGAGGUGAAAUUCGUAGAUAUUGGGAAGAACACCGGUGGCGAAGGCGGCUCACUGGCUCGUUUCUGACGCUCAGGCGCGACAGCGUGGGGAUCAAACAGG